UGGGCGGGGGAAGCUCAUCAGCGGGGCCACGCGCUGAGUGCUCGUCACUCCAUCGGCCCCUGGGAAGGUCUGAGACUGGGGCCUCCCGCGGCCCUAACCGGGCCCUCCCCGAGUGGGGAGGUGAGUUCCCAGAGAGCAGGGCUCCACGCGUGGGCAGACUGGGCAGAAAAUACCCUGAGUGAGGUAAGCCAGACACAAAAGAACACACAUGGUUUGUACUCACUGAUAAGUCGAUAUUAGCCCGAAAGCUCAAAAUGCCCACUUUACAACUUACAGACUAUAUGAAGCUUAAGAAGAAGGAAGAUUGUGGAUGUUUCAAUCCUACUUA
rnacentral:RNase_P_RNA from 2 species